AUUAGGGUUAGGGUUUGUUUUGCGAUUCGCUUUUGACGAUGAAGAAGAUGCCUUACGAGGAUUCGCAUCAGCGGACGAAGAUUGAUUUUGAUGAUCACUGUUAUCACUCAAUGGCUUGUGCGUUCUUGGAUCUAUCCCUUGGCUUAUCAACUUUUUACUCAGUGUAAUUACCGGUUGCCUAGAAGGCGAUGGAGGCGGAGGAUAAGAUCUUCUUCAUCGGGGGCGAUCUGGCCGCGCUUGACGGAGGGGCGGAGGUAGUUCAUCCAUCGGAGACGGCAACUCUUUCCACAUCGGAGGAGGCCAGCACGCUUGGGGAGGGUUCUCCAGCGGCCUUCGCCUUCUUUCUUGAUGUAGUUGGAGAGAAGCUCGUCUUCUUCAGGCGUCCAUGGCCCUCUCUUUAACCCUACCUUGCUGCAACACGGAGUUUUAGUGGUGGUGCUUGUGGUGGAGUUAGCCGCAGCUGCAGCCGCUGAUGCUGAUGCUGACGUGGACGGGUUCCUCAUGUUUAGCCUCUUCGAAGAUUUAGGAUUGGAUCGAUAGAUGGAUCUUGACCUGGAGUGGAGUUUGAGUUUCAGUUGCGUAGUGUUUGAGGGGAUGAUGGAAUCUGAUUGGUGGCUUUAUCUUUUUCUUUUUGUUAAUUUUAUUUGUUUUUAUUUUAUUAAUGUUUUUGUUUCCAUUUUCGACUUCUGCUGCCCUGUGGUAAUGAAUUUGGGACAACCCUUCACGCGUUUUUUGGAGCGUGGCUGAACGCUCUGAUGACGUGGAAUGUGAAAAGUGUGGGGAGAAUUUAUAAGGUAUGUUGACACUUAUCUAAUCUCUUGUAGAGAUUUGGACAUUACCAACGAAAUUACAAGAUUGAAAAAUUAAUAAUUUUUACAUUA